GCUCAAAAGGUGAUAGCGCCCUCAAGGCUGGAACAGGUGAAAGCGCCCUCAAUUGACUGGAGAUGUCCAGGCCAUGUGAGAGUGUUUUAUGGCAGACAUGUUUGUUGUUAUGCAUGUCAUGUAAAAGUUUGCUCAUCGUUUUGUUUUUGAAAUAUAAUAGUUGAGGGAGAAAUAAUAACCUCCUGUUAGCAGGUUUUGUGUUCCUGCAAACCAGUAAAGAUUUAUUGGCAGUUGUUGGCUCUCAGAUCUCAGAUCUACAAUCUUAGAUCUUCUCUAUGAAUAAUCAGCUUCUCAAGUUGAAUAAACUCUAAACUGUUGGAGUGUUGGUACUUGGUGACGAAUGAAACUGCGGACCUUCCACAUCUGGACUCGCUGUCUGCUGGACUGUGGAAUGCGUGGACUGCUGGACUGGGUCUAGACGUACUACCUAGCUGCAACAAGUUUCCCCGGGACUUCUGAACUAUUUGACCUACUGCGUACCUACAUCUGUACAUGUAGCUGCAAGGUGUCGAGUGGAGGAGGAAUCACAGUGCCUGUAUCCUUGAUAUUAAUCGCGGAAUUGAACUCGUGAACUGAUAAAUCGGAUAUUAAUCGCGGAAGUGAACUCGUGAACUGAUAAAUCUAGGAUCCUAGUGUUUUGAGAUUGUUUAUUACUAUUGGCCAAUAGUUAGUAUACAGCUGUUAGAGUUUUAUUGCAGUUUGCAAUUUUUGCUAAAAGUUAAAGUUUGUUUAAUAUCUUGACGUAGAAAGAGCUGUGAAGAGCAUUAAAAGUGGUUGUUUAAAAGUUAAA